rnacentral:misc_RNA from 1 species
CACUUUUGCUUGUGCAGAUCGUGUACAACUGGCUGUUCGAAAUGACGCUUCGCUGGAUUCUGGAUUUGGGAGCCAAUGGCGAUAAGAAAAAGUUCCAGCAUCGCGUGCGGUUGCUGCGCAUCGGUGUAUUCAUGGUGAUGACCAUAGGCUUCCUGUACCAGGCAUCCAAAGUGGUUGAGGAGUACCUCAGCUUUCCCAGCGCCGUCGACGUUCGCAUCGAGGGCACCGAGGUGCUCCUCUUUCCUGGCCUCUCGGUCUGCGUCACCAACUGGAUUAGCAAGACCAAGCUCUGCGAGCACUACCAGGAGUUCUGCGACACCAACAACACUAACGUAGAAGAGCUGAAAAGACUGCUGCUAACCGGUGGCAACCUUGGAGACAUAGCUCACACCUCUGAAGAUGUUCUGCAAAUCGGCUUUGUUAACCCAACGCAGUAUUUCUUCGAGUUUUACCUGAGUCCAAACGUUACUCGACAAUCAUACUCCCGCCUGCCAAGCCAGAUGUGUUACACCAUGAAUUGGAGGCAUGACUCCAAGAUCGAUACCGUCCACCAAAACGUCCUGGCCUUCGAGAUGAACGUGCUCUUUGCCUGGCCCGAAGACGACCUCAUAGAAAUGGAUGAAUUCGAAAUGAACCUCGGCUUUCACCACGUUGACACAAACACAGCGGGAAAGAAGCACGCCAUGGCUUUCAAGCCCUCAGGCGACUUCGUCUUCGGAAUCGUGCAGGAAGGAGUCGUAUCUCUGCCUGCUCCCUUCGCCACCAAGUGUGACAACUACAGCCGGUACCUGCGCCUACCAAACUACAAAGUCCAGUACUCAAAAGAGAUAUGUUACGAAGAGUGCCGCAAGGAAAUAACGCGCGAAGUGUGUGGAUGUAUCCCAAAUGAUUACGCCUGGCGAAAUCACAUAAGUGAAAAAGUCUGCGACUUGGCCGAGACAAUUCACUGCGUUCACAAAGAUGGCCGAGCGAUGUACAGCGUGGUCUGCAAUGAACGCUGUCACACGGCGUGCAGGGAGACCAUCUAUAAGGCAACGCAGUCGGCAUGGAAACAAGAAACCAGCAUGUCUAUGGAGGGGCUCACGUACGUCAAAGUGCGAGCGCUGAUGACGUCGCGGAGCGUCGAAGCACUCCACUUCAUUCCUCUGUUAACGGGCACACAAGUGCUGGGCCUUGUGGGAGGCUACUCUGGGUUCUGGAUGGGCGUGGCGAUAGUGGUGGGUGCCACGGAAAGCGUGCGCGUGGUCUUCGACUUCUGCCGGCGACGCGUGCGAUCUCGGCUCCACAAGGCCGAGAUCAGCUUCCUGUUCCGCGUGUGCAAGAUGCUGAUGGUACAGGGCUGCUUCGUGGCGUGCGCGUUCAGCAUCUACGGGGACUACGAAAACUACCGGCACUACUACACGGCCGUCACCUACGAGCAGCAAAACAUCCGCGGCGUCUUCUUCCCCGCUGUGACCAUCUGCUCAUACGAAGCGGUGAAUUUCACUAGGAUGUGUGCAGAGUACGGAAGGUACAACAAAUGCGUCGCUGCUACUUUUGAUACAACUGUAGGCAACGAUAUCAUCGCCAUGAAGUACGUGAUCAACUACACCUAUCCUCCGGCUGACGUCUUUUCGAAUUGCACCAUGACAUUCUCCGGAGAGAUAUGUGAAAGCUUCAAAUGUGACAACCUCUGGGAUCCCACAUAUACAUUUGUGAAGACUGGCGUCUGCUUCAUCCUUAACAUCGGAAGGUCACCGGAACUUCAGAGAUGUCGAGAGCAGUACAAAUACCGGCUCAACUUCCGCGUUCGCGCGGAUACCAAGGAUCCUCGGAACGAGAACAUGGCCUUCUCGGCGUUGCUGCACGGUACCAGCAGCUACACUUCGGGAAUCAUCCACACCUUCCGCUUUCAGGCGGGUCGCAAAUACACGAUCUCUGUCGCUCAGACAGAGCUGGUCUCGUUGCCGCUACCAUAUGAGACCCGUUGCAUCGACUACGUCGCUACCGCGGAUGAAUCUCUGUAUGAUGAGAAAGAGAUUCAAGAAGAGUGCGUUGCAUCGACGAACUGAUCCGUCAGAAGUGGUUCAUGUCCUGCCAAAACAUCUGCACCCGAGGAUGCAAAGACACUCGUUAUAGAGGUCUGAUGUUCCAAACCGGAUUCAUCACGGAUUACGUAAGAUACGAAAACCUCGAGGCAGACCUCACGGUAGUCCUCGGCUCUACGAAGCGCAAGAUUGUGAGCAACCUGCCAA